CUCUAGUAAAUGUUUUUGAAUAAAUUUAAUUAAUUAUUGUUGAGAUUUUUUUCAUAAAAUAUUUAUUGAACAUUUUUACUGAUAUUGAACUGAAAAUAUUUCAGUUCUAUUUACCGUUAUUGUUUUGAUAAUCAUUUCAAUGCAACUAAUGUGUGAGCAGAGUGUGUAUAUUAUUUUGUAAAGGUCACUGUAUAUUUCUCGGCUUGAGGUCAAUUCGUUUACCUUGUAGCUAUUUAGCCGCAGGUGUGAGUUCAAGCGUACACAGGUAUAAAUGUUGUUAUUUGGAAAGGAUAAACAGAAAGGAUUAGAAAGAGUAUGCUGUCACGAUGUUAAUACACUAAGAUUUAAUACACGAUGAGAAUAAAGAUACAAUAAUUAAAUUGUGUAAAUUAAUUGAAAAUAAAAUUCAGAUUCGUAAUUCCGAAAGUGUAUAAAAAUAAAAGGAAACAAUUUUUGAUUACUUUCUUAGCGGCAAUUGGCGUAAAGAUUCAAAUAUGAAGCAAAAAAUAGUAGUUUUAAUCUUUAAUAAAAACUAAAUGCAAUAUUACCCAAUUUGAUAUACCAUUGUACAUCUGUUUGAUAUCAUUGACUUUACCGGAAUUUCUUAACUUGUAUUCAAAUCUGGCUGUGUUUAAAUGCUAAUAAAACUAUUGCAAUUUUAAAGUUUUUAAUUGACAAAAAAAUACAACAUACAACAUGCAUGAUUUUUUUUU
rnacentral:lncRNA from 1 species